AAAAGAAUGGCGAUUUAAAGUACAACUCAUUUUCCCGGUCGCAGACAUUUCAAGGAAUGGGAUGUGGCCUAAAACUGGUUUUCUGUAUAGUUGACCCUUAAAAGAAAGAGUGUGGAUCAUCCCUGCCAACAUUGAGUUAGUAGAUUAUUUGUCGCAUCUCAUCAGCGGCCUUUCAAUCUCCUUGGAAGUCCUCCUUCCCGUUUUUAUUUGAAGUAGGCGGAGUGGCCUAUUGAAUUACCUCCUACUCGGUCCAAACUGACGAGUCUGGAGAGCCAACAACUUUUACUCGCUUUUCUCGAAUUCCCGACCUGUUCCAGAGCACUUAUCAUACCUUUCACUGCUUCAUACAUUGACGGUUUAUCCAUUACGAAGAUCCUUGUCCCACCGCUUGUCCAAGGUCCUCAAGGUCUCAUAAAGAAUUUUGUAAUUGAUUUGAGCCUUCUUGGCCUGAUUGAACAAGGAGCGCCAACGAAGGCCAGCCACCUGAAGCUCAGUCAGGUCGCCUUGGAUCAUGUGCUGGUGCAAGAUGGUGCAGGCGGCUUCCGGCAGCUCUCCAUCCCAUUCCCAAGGGUACUGAAAGAAAAUAAACUUGGGUUGGUGAGGAACUCCCAAAAGA